rnacentral:rRNA from 1 species
UAGAUGCGAGAGUAGAGCAUAUCAAUAAGCGGAGGAAAAGAAACUAACAAGGAUUCCCUUAGUAACGGCGAGUGAAGCGGGAAGAGCUCAAAUUUGAAAUCUUCAAGGUUCUACCUUGACGAAUUGUAGUUUAAAGAAGUGUUUUCUGUUAGAUGAGUAGCAAAAGUUCCUUGGAAUGGGACAUCAUAGAGGGUGAGAAUCCCGUAUUUGGAUCAUUAUUUCUAGCUGUGUGAUACACUUUCAAAGAGUCGGAUUGUUUGGGAAUGCAGUCCAAAAUGGGUGGUAAAUUUCAUCUAAAGCUAAAUAUUGGCGAGAGACCGAUAGCGAACAAGUACCGUGAGGGAAAGAUGAAAAGAACUUUGAAAAGAGAGUUAAACAGUACGUGAAAUUGUCAAAAGGGAAGCGUUUGACACCAGUGUUGUUUUUCCGAAAAUCAAUUACGAAUGGCUUGAUUUUGUGUUGUAUUGACCUUAUCAGCUUUCUGCACUUUUUUUCGAGUCUUUCUUAAUGCACCUUUUCGGUUAACAAGUCAACAUCAAUUUCUUUUGUUGUAAAAGAGUAUUCGGAAGGUGGCUUUCUUUUCGGAGAAAGUGUUUAUAGCCCUAUACUUCUACAAUCGGAGAGAUUGAGGUCUGCAGCGUAGAUCCUUCGGGGUUAGAUACACUUGUGCUAAGUUGUAGCUUUUCAUAGACAACUUGUUGACUAUGUUUAGUCAUGCGGCUUACUCGCUUGUGCUAUUUUACCUACGCUUAGGAUGUUGAGCGCAUGUCUCUCUCU